AGUGAACGCUGGCGGCAGGCCUAAUACAUGCAAGUCGAACGGCAGCACAGCAGAGCUUGCUCUGUGGGUGGCGAGUGGCGGACGGGUGAGGAAUACGUGGGAAUCUGCCCAGUCGUGGGGGAUAACGUAGGGAAACUUACGCUAAUACCGCAUGCGCCCUUCGGGGGAAAGCCGGGGACCUUCGGGCCUGGCGCGGUUGGAUGAGCCCACGUCGGAUUGGCUAGUUGGCGGGGUAAAGGCCCACCAAGGCGACGAUCCGUAGCUGGUCUGAGAGGAUGAUCAGCCACACUGGAACUGAGACACGGUCCAGACUCCUACGGGAGGCAGCAGUAGGGAAUAUUGGACAAUGGGCGCAAGCCUGAUCCAGCCAUGCCGCGUGAGUGAAGAAGGCCCUCGGGUUGUAAAGCUCUUUUGUCCGGAAAGAAAAGCGCCGGGUUAAUACCCUGGUGUCCUGACGGUACCGGAAGAAUAAGCACCGGCUAACUUCGUGCCAGCCGCCGCUGUAAUAC
rnacentral:rRNA from 1 species